GGUUAAGCGACUAAGCGUACACGGUGGAUGCCCUGGCAGUCAGAGGCGAUGAAGGACGUGCUAAUCUGCGAUAAGCGUCGGUAAGGUGAUAUGAACCGUUAUAACCGGCGAUUUCCGAAUGGGGAAACCCAGUGUGUUUCGACACACUAUCAUUAACUGAAUCCAUAGGUUAAUGAGGCGAACCGGGGGAACUGAAACAUCUAAGUACCCCGAGGAAAAGAAAUCAACCGAGAUUCCCCCAGUAGCGGCGAGCGAACGGGGAGCAGCCCAGAGCCUGAAUCAGUGUGUGUGUUAGUGGAAGCGUCUGGAAAGGCGCGCGAUACAGGGUGACAGCCCCGUACACAAAAAUGCACAUGCUGUGAGCUCGAUGAGUAGGGCGGGACACGUGGUAUCCUGUCUGAAUAUGGGGGGACCAUCCUCCAAGGCUAAAUACUCCUGACUGACCGAUAGUGAACCAGUACCGUGAGGGAAAGGCGAAAAGAACCCCGGCGAGGGGAGUGAAAAAGAACCUGAAACCGUGUACGUACAAGCAGUGGGAGCACGCUUAGGCGUGUGACUGCGUACCUUUUGUAUAAUGGGUCAGCGACUUAUAUUCUGUAGCAAGGUUAACCGAAUAGGGGAGCCGAAGGGAAACCGAGUCUUAACUGGGCGUUAAGUUGCAGGGUAUAGACCCGAAACCCGGUGAUCUAGCCAUGGGCAGGUUGAAGGUUGGGUAACACUAACUGGAGGACCGAACCGACUAAUGUUGAAAAAUUAGCGGAUGACUUGUGGCUGGGGGUGAAAGGCCAAUCAAACCGGGAGAUAGCUGGUUCUCCCCGAAAGCUAUUUAGGUAGCGCCUCGUGAAUUCAUCUCCGGGGGUAGAGCACUGUUUCGGCAAGGGGGUCAUCCCGACUUACCAACCCGAUGCAAACUGCGAAUACCGGAGAAUGUUAUCACGGGAGACACACGGCGGGUGCUAACGUCCGUCGUGAAGAGGGAAACAACCCAGACCGCCAGCUAAGGUCCCAAAGUCAUGGUUAAGUGGGAAACGAUGUGGGAAGGCCCAGACAGCCAGGAUGUUGGCUUAGAAGCAGCCAUCAUUUAAAGAAAGCGUAAUAGCUCACUGGUCGAGUCGGCCUGCGCGGAAGAUGUAACGGGGCUAAACCAUGCACCGAAGCUGCGGCAGCGACACUAUGUGUUGUUGGGUAGGGGAGCGUUCUGUAAGCCUGUGAAGGUGUGCUGUGAGGCAUGCUGGAGGUAUCAGAAGUGCGAAUGCUGACAUAAGUAACGAUAAAGCGGGUGAAAAGCCCGCUCGCCGGAAGACCAAGGGUUCCUGUCCAACGUUAAUCGGGGCAGGGUGAGUCGACCCCUAAGGCGAGGCCGAAAGGCGUAGUCGAUGGGAAACAGGUUAAUAUUCCUGUACUUGGUGUUACUGCGAAGGGGGGACGGAGAAGGCUAUGUUGGCCGGGCGACGGUUGUCCCGGUUUAAGCGUGUAGGCUGGUUUUCCAGGCAAAUCCGGAAAAUCAAGGCUGAGGCGUGAUGACGAGGCACUACGGUGCUGAAGCAACAAAUGCCCUGCUUCCAGGAAAAGCCUCUAAGCAUCAGGUAACAUCAAAUCGUACCCCAAACCGACACAGGUGGUCAGGUAGAGAAUACCAAGGCGCUUGAGAGAACUCGGGUGAAGGAACUAGGCAAAAUGGUGCCGUAACUUCGGGAGAAGGCACGCUGAUAUGUAGGUGA
rnacentral:rRNA from 1 species